GCCGAUGCUAGCAGUGUUAGCUUCCCCGAGCAUGGCUCGUCCUCCCGCUGUGCUCGCGCUCUAUCUCUCCCUGACCCUCUGUCUCCGGUGGACCGGAGGAGUCUCCGCUCAGAACAGCUGUGUUACAGGGUCGAGCUGUGAGGAGUGUGUGUCUAACACUACAUGUGUAUGGUGUGGCAGGACUCAGAAGUGUGUGGAUUACCCAGUCGAGACCUUUUUCCCUUCACACAGUCUGUGUCCGCUUAGUAAUGCACGCUGGAGUUACUGCUGGUUGAACUACCAGACUCUGAUUAUUGCGGGUGCUGUGUUCGGGUGUUUGUUCAUCAUCUCUGUGCUCAUCUGUUGCAUCUGCUGCUUCAAGAAUUUUUCAAAAACCAGAUCUGGGCAUACAAAUGAGUGUCCUGUGAGAGAGGCUGAGCUCAGACAAGUCCGACAUAUGGAGAGCGCAUAGGAGUGUUGUCGAGUAAAUACGUGAACACGUGACCGCAGCGUGAUCUGGACAGCGUGAUAAUAGUGUGUUUGUGUUUUCUGAAAAGCGGAGAUGAGAUUGAGACAUGAUGAGAUCAGGAGGAAAUACGGUCUGACGAAGAAGAGCCCCUACUCCAGAAUUUAGAACAACUAACACACACACACUCCGAUACUUCUGCUGUGCUGAAGCAGUGUGAACACUUCUUUUAUUAUUACUAUUAUUGUUUACAUUGUAUUUUGUUUACGCCGUGUGACCCGGCUGCAGUUUGUCCCUGUUCUGUGAAUGUGCCAUGUUUCUGUCCUCUGUUUACACUUCUACAUGAGAAAUUAUCUCACAUUUCAAUAUUUUAACAUGUUUUUUCUCUCACACACACACACACACACAGAGUGGCAACAGACAGACGAGACAUUUUAUUUUUUUGACAAUCUGUACAGCAACACUUUUAUAAAGUCUGAAUGUUAAACACGCACAUCAUCGCUGUGUGGUAAAGGGUUUCACUUCAGUCCACUGCAUUUCACUUUAUUAUUCAUACUCUACACACUUCUGCUGAAACACCCCGAUAGCAGCAGAUUUGUGUGUGAUAAAGCACUAAAUAAACUAUUUAUUGAG